rnacentral:rRNA from 1 species
UACGGAGGGUGCGAGCGUUGUCCGGAAUCACUGGGCGUAAAGGGCGCGUAGGCGGCCUGCUAAGUCGAACGUGAAAUCCCCAGGCUUAACCUGGGAACUGCGUGUGAUACUGGAUGGCUUGAAUUCGGGAGAGGGAUGCAGAAUUCCAGGUGUAGCGGUGAAAUGCGUAGAUAUCUGGAGGAAUACCGGUGGCGAAGGCGGCAUCCUGGACCGACAUUGACGCUGAGGCGCGAAAGCUAGGGGAGCGAACAGG